CCUACGGGCGGCAGCAGUGAGGAAUAUUGGUCAAUGGACGAGAGUCUGAACCAGCCAAGUAGCGUGAAGGAUGACUGCCCUAUGGGUUGUACACUUCUUUUAUAUGGGAAGAAAACGUUCCACGUGUGGGAUUUUGUAUGUACCCUAUGAAUAAGGAUCGGCUAACUCCGUGCCAGCAGCCGCGGUAAUCCGGAGGAUCCGAGCGUUAUCCGGAUUUAUUGGGUUUAAAGGGGGCGUAGGUGGAUUGUUAAGUCAGUUGUGAAAGUUUGCGGCUCAACCGUAAAAUUGCAGUUGAAACUGGGAGUCUUGAGUACAGUAGAGGUAGGCGGAAUGCGUGGUGUAGCGGUGAAAUGCUUAGAUAUCACGAAGAACUCCGAUUGCGAAGGCAGUUCACUGGAGCGCAACUGACACUGAGGCUCGAAAGUGUGGGUAUCAAACAGGAUUAGAUACCCGAGUAGUC
rnacentral:rRNA from 1 species